rnacentral:rRNA from 1 species
UGGGGAAUAUUGGACAAUGGGCGAAAGCCUGAUCCAGCCAUGCCGCGUGUGUGAAGAAGGUCUUCGGAUUGUAAAGCACUUUAAGUUGGGAGGAAGGGCAGUAAGCGAAUACCUUGCUGUUUUGACGUUACCGACAGAAUAAGCACCGGCUAACUCUGUGCCAGCAGCCGCGGUAAUACAGAGGGUGCGAGCGUUAAUCGGAUUUACUGGGCGUAAAGCGUGCGUAGGCGGCUAAUUGAGUCGGAUGUGAAAUCCCCGAGCUUAACUUGGGAAUUGCAUUCGUUACUGGUUAGCUAGAGUGUGGGAGAGGGUGGUGGAAUUUCCUGUGUAGCGGUGAAAUGCGUAGAUAUAGGGAGGAACAACAGUGGCGAAGGCGACCACCUGGGCUCAUACUGACACUGAGGUGCGAAAGCGUGGGGAGCAAACAGG